rnacentral:rRNA from 1 species
UGCAGUCGAACGGAGUAGCAAUACUUAGUGGCAGACGGGUGAGUAACAUGUGGGUAUCUUCCCUUUGGUGAGGAAUAACACGAGGAAACUUGUGCUAAUACCUCAUAAGUCUUUACGGAGAAAGCUUUAUGCGCCAAUGGAUGAGCCUGCACUUGAUUAGUUUGUUGGUAGGGUAAUGGCCUACCAAGACUGUGAUCAAUAGCUGAUUUGAGAGGAUGAUCAGCCACAUUGGGACUGAGACACGGCCCAAACUCCUACGGGAGGCAGCAGUAGGGAAUCUUGCACAAUGGAGGAAACUCUGAUGCAGCGAUGCCGCGUGAGUGAAGAAGGCCCUUGGGUUGUAAAGCUCUUUCGUCGGGGAAGAAAAUGACUGUACCCGAAUAAGAAGGUCCGGCUAACUUCGUGCCAGCAGCCGCGGUAAUACGAAGGGACCUAGCGUAGUUCGGAAUUACUGGGCUUAAAGAGUUCGUAGGUGGUUAAAAAAGUUGGUGGUGAAAGCCCAGAGCUUAACUCUGGAACUGCCAUCAAAACUUUUUAGCUAGAGUUUGAUAGAGGAAAGCAGAAUUUCUAGUGUAGAGGUGAAAUUCGUAGAUAUUAGAAAGAAUACCAAUUGCGAAGGCAGCUUUCUGGAUCAUUACUGACACUGAGGAACGAAAGCAUGGGUAGCGAAGAGGAUUAGAUACCCUCGUAGUCCAUGCCGUAAACGAUGUGUGUU